rnacentral:lncRNA from 15 species
GGUCAAUAUUAGUGACAAAUGUGUGUCACAUGAGCCAGAAAAUAAAAAUGAUUUAUGGAUGUGGUGUUCAUCAACGCAUCUUCUUGAAUAAAUGUUAGUAUUGAACAUAAACUUUAAAGGUACAGUUCACCCCAACCACCAUUCAGCUUGUGGAGCUCAAAGAGCCCAAAAACACAUUUGACAAACUCAACAGCAACCAGUCUCUUCGGUGGCUAUCUCAGUGCUGCUAGGUGAUCUAAUGUUACAGCUAAUGUUUACACCCAGUGCUGUCACAAGCACGAGCUUACGGUCCAUGAGCGAAUGCACACUUCCUUCUGCCCGAUGAUACGUUGAAAGAAAAUAGUUCCUACGUGAAACUGCUCACAACAAGGUCUGUGGAAUAUCCUGUGUUCUGUAAAAAGACAUUGCUGUACUCUUAGCAGAGUGUCAGCAGCUUCGGUUACAGUGGAGAGAAAACAGAAAACUCACAGCAGACAAUGUAUAUGGAUGAAUAACUCUACAGGUACGACAAACAUGUAUUUUUGAUUUUGGGGUAAAAUCUGAUUUAAGUUUUUUGGAUUUGUUUUUGAUAAUUCUUUUUUGUGUAUAUUACAAAUAUUUGUAAAAUUAGAUGGUAAUUGUUGGUGUAUAGGAAACCACAUUGUGAACACCAUAAUUUAUGAGGGAUUAUCAUUAUUGAUUAAUCUGUUGGUACUUUUGAACCCCCUCCAGUCUGAAACCAGUGCUUCUUCCUGUCCCUACAGUGUGCUGGUUGAAUGAUGUCUGCAGAGUUUGACUCUAGAAGGAUGUUCUUACAUUCAUCUGCUGAAAGUGGAAAGUUUCUCUGAGCUCACUGAACAUCUGAUUUUAAGGGGGCGGGGCCUGUGACAUCAGUCCUGGUCCAGUAUGUAACUUCUACAGUGAGACCCACCUGUGCACAGACACUGAGAACGGACUUUACACUGAAGGAGGAGACAUCUUGUGUCCAGCACGAAAACUUUCGAAAUGAACAACAUUUGCAUAUUUACAUGGAUUCUGUCAUUUUUAAUGAGGUAAAGCAGAAGUUACCUCUCUAAAGCUCUGAUCCAAUGUGAAGCAGCCUGUCAGCCGCCGUCCGCCGUGUCCCUGCCUCGGUAACAUCUGGUCCCUGCUGCCUCUCACAAACAUCUGUAACAUUCAACCGACUGCACGAGAAAAUCCCCCAAACCAAAUAAAAACACCCGCUGCGGUUCGGAGGGAGAGAGGGGAGAGCUGCACUCACCUGUCCGGGCUGUCGGUGCUGUGUCUGCGUCCGGA